ensembl:snoRNA
GCAUGGGUUUGGAUUUAUGACAGGCCCAUCCCCCUAGGCCUGUCAUAGUAACCCAUGCCAGAGCAAACCAUGUCCCCAAACCAUUGCCUGGCCUCUGUGCCCAUAGGCUGCUAGCACUGAAGUGGGUUGCACAGUG